UCGGUCGACAGCACGAAGGGCUGAGGUCGGGACGCCGCCAUCUUAGAACAGGGCAAGGAAUCAUCGGCUGAGUUCCGGUUGCUACUGUUUUGGAACACAGCUAAACACCGAACUGAGGUCGACCCGCCGCCAUCUUGAACUAGGGCAAAAGUUCCCCUUUGCCUGAGGCUUAAAUUAAGGGAGCCGCCAUCUUGAAAUAAGGCACAGCUAGUUCCGCCAAAACACUAAACUCCCUUUUAUAGGCUCGCGGAGUCCAUCACUGAUUUUCCGGCUGUAAGGGGCGUGGAUCCGCUUCGCUGAUCGCUGUGCACAAUUCCUUCCCACCCAGGCGUGCAGUUUGCUUGAUUAUCGUCAGAGCGGCUGAGCUCAUGAGGUCGCGUAACCUCACCUCGCAUUGUGUUCAACCAGCACUAACCUUAAAUAAGUGUUGACAGCCAGCCCCAAGCAAUCAAAAACAUGAGUCAGGGGCCCCAGAAAAACGGACUUUGAAAUCAUGAGACUUUAGACGUACAUAUCGUGUUCUUUAUAUUUGUCUUGUGGCUGCUGAGCCUUUGCAACUGCAAGGGCUAGAAACUUUUAAAGAGAGCUACAAUUUUCAUGCAAUCGCUUGAUUCCAGAAGCAGGAGCUUAAAAGCACCAAAUAUUAAAGUAAUAGCAGUUGGCAAUAUUGCAUGAUGCCGAACGUGUAUACCAUCCCAACACAUCGUGUCCCAUUGCUCACCAUCACACCACAACCUUUUUUUUUUUUUUUUAGUUCUGAAAGUGAUUUCAGGACUCAUAACUAUCCCACAAAGGAGCAAUUGUAAAAUGUAGGAUCACUCGGUUAAUAUAAUCCCAGCGGAAUUAAGGAUUAGUUACAAUCCUUGACCAGGAUGAAGGGAUUUAUAUAAUCAAAUUAUAUUACAAAUUAUAUUACUGGUAGUGGGAAGUCCAGUGGACUCCAUAAUUGUCUGUGGGUUUUUGUUGAUUUCAGCAGGAGAACCAGUAGCCUUGGUAACUAGCAGACCAACUAUUUUCAUGUUAUCUGAGGUUAUCUAUUCUAAAAUAAAGUCUGCAAAUUAAAACAAGGGAGACAAGGAAAAUGCCCAGUUUCUUAAAAUCAUUUGUAUCUAUGAAAGCAGAAUAUAUAGCCAGUAUAUACGGUCCUGACCUUUCAAUUGGAUCUGCAUUAAUUGAUCUUUUCUGCAGUCUGGAUGCAAACUAAAGAAUCAAGAUCUUUGUAAGAAACUCAUUCAGGUGGGAUACUAAUUCAAAUAUAAAUCCUUUCUGCAUUCCCAAAAAUUGAUUUGAAAGAGAAAUUAUUUGCUGAGUGGAGGCUACAAUCAAACUAUUAUCUGCAUUUCUGAAAUAUCCAUCAUUUUGUGACAAUUAGCAGUGACCCCCUAACAGUUAGUAGCCUUAUAAGAGCUGGCAACCAUUAGGAGAAAUUGGAUAUGUCACGGACACAGUAGCCUGAACUUUUGAACUGUCUUUCCUUAUCAGUCCUGAGGUAGUUGGAACUGGCCCUAAGCUGGUUUUUGCUGAGCAGAUUGCAGAAGUGCAGGGUUUGCUAACCACCAAUCAAAUGCUAACAUGACCAAAGCCUGUGUGUGAGUGUGUAUAAAAGAUUCUUGGUUUUUGUAUGGAGUAGAGUUUUUUGUACCAAGGUACAGAACUCUCCUUUCUUCUGCAGUAUAAAGCAACCUUUCCUUAUCCCUGUCUGGCUGUCAUUGGCUCUCAGCUAGGCGGACCCGACAUUUCGGUAACGGUUUCUGGCGACCCAGAUGGGACCCUCCUAGCUCGGACAUCGGACUCCGGACGGCUGCGGCGAACUAGGAGCGGCGCCACUGAGGUGUGUAGCCCCUCUUCCUCACUUCACCGUGGCCCCUGGGGUUCGUGCUCCGAUAAGAUAAUCAGAGAAAACUGAUGCCAGCUGAACAGCAUUCAAAGUAUCAUGCUUUUACUGGCACAAUAGGAAUUAUGUUUUGUGUUCUAUGUCCUGUCUUGUGGUGUUUGUCUCGUGGCCAAAAUUGUUGCGUUUAAUAUUUUCAUAGAAUAGUCUAGUUUAAACUCAAACAAAAAGGUUAAAUUAAAAUGCAGAUACUUUUUUUAUUCAACUUGGAAUACAAAGUGUUUGGAUAAAUCAAGAAAAUGUGAUAUACUAAAGUUUAAUACAUUUCCUUAAGUAAGAAAAAGAAACUUCAUUGGCCAAACCUUUUAAAUAAAAAUUGUUAUUAAAAUUUGCAUACCAACAGUCUUUGGAAGCAAGGACAUGAAAAGUUAACCCACUCCCCAUAUUGUACAUGGGAUCCUUCUGGCUACCUCAGAUUUCUAGCCAGAGGGCUAGGGAUGGUGGGAAGCUAUUGGACUAGAGGUUGUAUUGAGUGAACUCCUCAAAUUGGGUGUGCUUGUCCUGGCUUGUUGCUCCAAAGCUCUGUAAUAAGGUUAUUUUAGUAGAAGGGUAUAUGUGGCAUACAUUAAAUAAUAAAAAUAAUAUACUGUAUAAUAGCAAUGUUUGUGUGUUUGUUGUUGGAAAAAAGUGUAUAAGUAAAAAGUAAAAGUUUCCUUUGUAAGUUAAAAAAGCCAAAAAAACCACCCAAAAUAAAUUAACUAAAAAAAAAUAGCUAGUAUGCUCAGUCUAAAAAUAAGACACUGCCCCCAUUCAAGGACACUGCUCACAGCUAAGACUUGGCUGACAGUCAAGAAAAGGGGGGGCUUGAAUGUGCCCAAACAGCUAUAAGAUCUGCAAAACAGUGCCAGGCACUAAUGAAAUGUGUUAGGUUUCUUUUCUCACAAAUAAAAAAGCGCUACCCAAAGACCCUAGCGGCCCUGCCACUCCUUGAAACCAGGAGACCAGAUCUAUGUAAAGGUCCACCAAUGAAAGACUGCUUUGGCUCCAUGCUGGAAAGGCCCUUAAGUCCUGCUGACUACCAACAUCACUGUGAAGUGCCAAAGACUGACUGCUUGGACCCAUGAUUCUCACUGCAAAAAGACCCCUCCACCUCAAGAAAAUUCUCCUACUAAUAAUUAGCCUAUUUCUCCUUCUAGCUAUGCUGUGCCUUCUGGACAGCAGGGAAAAAGGACAAGGUAAAGUGCUAGUAACCUCUCCCUUGUCCACUAACAGACCUACUGUGCCUUUGAAUUUUUCUAGAAGAAGCAAAACCAUUACAGGGUGAUGUGCUGUUAACCUCUCCCCUGUAGGAUGCUGAACCACACUGUUUUGGGAAAGAAGAAGGAACACUCACUCCACUGAAAUUGCCAAAGUCCAGGAAUUCCUGACUAGAAAAAACAUUAAGAACUAACCCUGGUAAAGAAACAAAGAAUUAUACACUGGCAGGAAGAAAUUUGUGGGACCCAUGCUUGGGAAUGUGAUAUUAAUUGAAUUUUGGGGUUUAUUCUACAGGCUGCGCCCUGUGUUUUGGAUAAAUUUUCCAGCAUGUAUAGCCCUCCCUAAUUACAUUUUAAAUAACAAAUACCAAAGGCACCUUGUUGCCACUGCCUCUGCCAUCUCCUCCAUUACACUAUUACCCGUGUAAUACAUCCAAAUACAAAUAACGCUAUAUACCAAUGACCCAAAAGUUACUAACAAAAAUAGUAUUAAAUAUCACAGGCUGGGAAAGCACUGCAGUAAGAUCUAAUAUGUUUAAAAAUUCAGGAUUUCCUGAAUGACCAGCUGAUAGCCAUUCGGAGUGAUCUUGAGUACCAGACUUGGCCCACUGCCCUUACAGACACAUCAACAGUACCAUCUAAUUUGUAGUCAUAGAAACAUACUUAAACACUUUCUGGGUGGAAGUGUAGACAUUCACAGUGCUCCUUCCAAGCAUUUAAACCGGUUAGGGGGGUGUGAGCUCCCACAUACCGAAUCCUAACAAGUCCAUAAAAAAAAUAUAAAACUAAAUUCACCGUAACAUCUAAAAAAUUAAAACACCUAGUAUACCUAACUAAUUUAUAGUCAGUGCCCCUAGAAUAACACCUGACAUUUUAAAUAGGAAUAGGGAGUCAAUAGACAUUUUAGCUGUUAAAACCCCUACAGCUUCAGUGUAUCCAUAAACUGAAGCCAAAAAAAGUUGUCACUGUUCAUAACAACAUUUACUAAAAAAACAAAAAACUAUCCUAACAAAACACCUACUUUUUCAAACUAAUAAUAACUAUAUGUGUGUAAAAACCACCACAAUACAAAAUAUACAUUUUAAUCUCAUUACCACUGCAGGUAAUCGUAUUACUUACUGGCCUGCAAAUAAAAUUUUGCAAGUAACCUUAAGUUCCAAAUACUCUUUAAUUAAACUAGUUUAGUACCUAAAUAGUUUCAAAAUUUGCUUUCAUUGUUACCAAAAGUUCAAAAAAUCUCUAAAAUAUAACAACAAAUUCACAUACUUCAAAAUAUAUAUCAAACUAAAAAAAAUACCUUUCAUACAACUUAUAAAAUAUCUACUUUAUGUGCUAAAUAUAAUAUAUUAUACUUUAUAACCAAAACUGUACAACUCCAUCAUAUUACUAUAAAAAUAUUAUUUAUAUUGCUAUUAAUUAGCUUAAAAUUAUGUUGUUGUUGUAAAAAAUGUGUUAAAAAUAAUACUUUUCAUAUCCAUGCUAAUCAUACUUUGUCAUUAUAUCCAAUAAAACCCCCUAAAAUUAAAACAUCUGAUAUAAAAUAAAAAAUCCAUAACUUAAUACAAAUAAAAAUUUUAAAAUAUCUGUUGUACUAAAAAUACAAAAAAAAAAGUAUAAAAAUAAAAAAAAACUAACGGAUUUGUAGGGGAUCUUAAUGCAUGACAGUCUCUGUUAGCAAAAGUUAAGCUAGCUAUAACCCUAAUAACGCAAAAUUUGUAGAAGCAAGGAUUGUGUGAGGCAAGCAAAAAAAAAACUUUGUAAAAAGUUGUUUUAACCUUGUGUAAAUAAUGUGUAGAUAGACUGGCUUCUCUCAAAAGUGAAAAAAACCACAAUAUCAAAAUAACCUAUGUAUAAACAAAAUGCAGCUGUUGUUUUCCACACUGUAUCUCUUGAUCAUACCCUUAAUUUUGAGGACCUCCUCCCAGACCUUAAGUUGUAGUUUACUAGCCUUUUCCAUACUGAAUAAAUUGCCUAGGGAGGUUGUAGAAUCUCCAUCUCUGGAGAUAUUUAAGAGUAGGUUAGAUAUAUGUCUGUCAGGGAUGGUCUAGACAGUAUUUGGCCCUGCCAUGAGGGCAGGGGACUGGACUCGAUGACCUCUCGAGGUCCCUUCCAGUCCUAGAGUCUAUGAAUCUAUACAACUGUCAAAUAGAUUAUUUUCUUUCUUUUUUUUCUGUGUUGUUUGAGUAAUGUUGCAAUGUGCAAAAUGUUUGUGUAGUGCUGUUACUUAAAGCUCUGCUGUCUGUAGGAAAACACAAUAUUUCUCCCUCCAGCUUGAUCGCAAAUUGCGUAUCGGGCCUGACAAUUUGGAUUAUCAGGCCCGAAGGGGGGACUGUGGCAAUUAGCAGCGACCCCCUACCAGUUAGUAGCCUUAUAAUAGUUGGCAACCAUUAGGAGAAAUUGGAUAUCUCACGGACACAGUAGCCUGAACUUUUGAACUGUCUUUCCUUAUCAGUCUUGAGGCAGUUGGAGCUGGUCCUAAGCUGUUUUUUGCGAGCAGAUUGCAGAAGUGCAGGGUUUGCUAACCACCAAUCAAAUGCUAACACGACCAAAGCCUCUGUAAUAAAGCAACCUUUCCUUAUCCCUGUCUGGCUGUCAUUGGCUCUCAGCUAGGCGGACCCAGCAUUUCGAUAACAAUUUUCACGUCAAUCUCGGAUGAGGACCCAGCACGUUCGUUUUAAGAACACUUUUGUCAAAUCUGCUGUGAAACACAAAGAAGGUACCAAUGUGAGAUUUCUAAGCAUAGCUACAGCCCUUGACCCAAAGUUUAAGAAUCUGGAGUGCCUUCCAAAAAUCUGAGAGGGACGAGGCAUGGAGAAUGCUUUCAGAUGUCUUAAAAGCGCAACACUCCGAUGCAGAACCCGAACCACCAAAAAAGAAAAAUCAACCCUCUGCUGGUGGCAUCUGAAUCACAUGAUGAAAAUGAACACGCAUCAGUCCGCACUGCUUUGGAUUGUUGUAGAGCAGAACCAGUCAACAGCGUGGAUGAAUGUAUUCUGGAAUGGUGGGUGAAGCAUAAAGGGAUAUAUGAAUCUUUAGCAUUUCUGGCACAUAAAUAUCUUCCAAUGCCAGCUAUGAAAGUGACAUGUGAAUGCCUGUUCUCACUUUCAGGUGACAUUGUAAACAAGACAUGGACAGCAUUAUCUCCUGCAACUUGUAACCAAACUUGUUUGUCUGAGCGAUUGGCUGAAGUAGGACUGUGUGGAUUUGUAAGUUCUAAAGUUUUACAUUGUUUUGUUUUUGAGUGCAGUUAUUUUUUGUACAUAAUUCUACAUUUUUUAAGUUCAACUUUCAUUAUAAAGAUAUCGCACUUUUUUUUACAGUGCAAAUAUUUGUAAUAAAAAAUAAAGUGAGCACUGUAUACUUUGUAUUAUAACUGAAAUCAAUAUAUUUGAAAAUGUAGAAAACAUCCAAAAAUAUUUAAAUAAAUGGUAUUCUAUUAUUAACAGUGCAAUUAAUCACAAUUUUUUCAAAUCACUUGACAGCCCUAUUUUAAACCCUGGACCAGGGUUUCUCAAGGGGUCA